rnacentral:misc_RNA from 1 species
CGUAAAGGUGCAUGAGUGGUGUUUGGUUUGUUACGGGUGGUUGGCUCUUUGCUUGCGCAACAACUUCCACCCGGCAUACCUCUUCAGUCUUGUGUCAAUGCUUGUAUUGCAUUGAAUGCACGGUGGGUUUCUUGUGUUGCAUGCCUAAUUGAUGGUAUCAUUUAAUGAUUUGAUGUCCAUUUUCGUCUUGUGUUGCACAUGCGAUGUGAGAUGAACCUUGAUGCUGCCUUUGUGAUCCACUCUUUUGAUGCACACGCAUUGAUUUUGUGGCUCAUUGAGYGUUGCUUGGUCUCACGGAUAUGGAACCUUGUGUGGGCAUGAGAUCUUUUACUAGUUCCUUGUUUGCCCUAGUUAAGCUUUUCAAAUACGAUUUCCU